AUGCUGCAGACUGGUGAAUAACUACUGUGGUGGUGAGAUCAUACACUCUGACUGGAACAACUGAUCUAGGAUAAGUGAGCCCGGUGCAGACUGAUGCAAAACUUUGUUGCAACGAAGCUAAUAAGGUUUUCCAAGUCAUGUGGGUCCUGUCAUCUAUAAAGUUUGCAGGGCUCAGUUUCACACGGCCCAACACACUUACUGUCACGGCUGGCUGAAGGACUGGACCAAGGUGCAGCAUGGUAAAGGAAAUGGAACGGACGGCAGGCGGCAGAGCGUCCCUUGAGCUGAUGAGAGUGACACCAGCGCUUCCCCAGGACCCCAGGGAUGCUGUCCCUGCACAUAGUAAAGUUAAGAGCGUUACUUUAUCC